GGGGCACCUGAUCAGCAAUGCCGCGUGUGUGAAGAAGGCCUGCGGGUUGUAAAGCACUUUCGGUAGGGACGAAAAGCUGAAUGCUAAUAUCAUUCAGUCUUGACUUAACCUAAAGAAGAAGCACCGGCUAACUCCGUGCCAGCAGCCGCGGUAAUACGGAGGGUGCGAGCGUUAAUCGGAAUUACUGGGCGUAAAGCGCGCGUAGGCGGUUACGUAAGUCGGAUGUGAAAGCCCCGGGCUUAACCUGGGAAUCGCA
rnacentral:rRNA from 1 species